UCCCUGGUGGUCCAGUGGCUAAGACUCUGUGCUUCCAAUACAGAGGGGCUGGGUUCGAUCCCUGGUCAGGGAA
rnacentral:tRNA from 1 species